CUGGAAGUUGUUAACCUUGGAAGAGCAGUGUUUGCAAUUGUUCUUUGGAGAGAAAGAGAAAACUGAGAAACUCCUUGAAUAUAAAUACGUAAACAUGCUGCAGAUUGUUUAAUCAGUGAUGCAGCUAACUAAUUUAACCCUUUCCUAGGUGACUGAGUUUUCUUCUUAACCGGCCUGAGAAAGCAAGCACGCUGCUCCCACCAUCGUGGAGAGCAGGAUUCAGCAGCCAGGCCUGGGCGGGCAGAUGGGUGAGGCGAGCAGGGCAGGCAGGAGCAUCCUGGCUGAAAGCAGACAGCCUGGGUGGAAUGACCAAAGGGAGCGGCAUGGCUGGGGAUGGUGCGAUCCCCCAUGAUGAUGGUGAAGACACAAAGUCAAGUACGCUCCCUUCUGAAAGUUACUAAAUGAACUUCAAUCAGGACUUCAAUUUUCUUUCUGAAAACUGCUGGCAAAACAAGUGAUUCUGUUCCUGGCCUCAGAAUAAGGAAGAACAUGUACGCUUCAGAUACCUGAAAGGAACUGCUGUAUAGUGAAACUGGUAGUCACUUUUAUUCUUCACUUCGAUUUAUCUACGUACAUGAGAAAAUCACAGCCACAGAUAAGUUCAAUUUUAAUAUAUACCUAUAUUAUAACAAAUUAUGUUCCUACUGCUCUCAAUGAGUUACCUGAGAAAUCCCAGGAUAUUAAUUGCCAGCUGGAUAAAACAGUUGCAAAGUAAUUUCACCCAAAUAUUAGUGUUUAAUGCUAAUUGCUAAAACAUGAAUUUUAGCAGCAGCUACAUUUGAUAGUAGUUCUUUGGUUUCAAAACAGUGAGACUGGAGAGAUGUGGGUCAGGUUUGACAGCACAUCCUUGAAAAGGCCAUUUGCUGUUUGGAACAUUAUUUUCCCCCAGUGUAGAGAAAGGCCGGGCAGCACACAAUUUGUGCUAUGGCUGUCACAACACACAGGAGACAUAUCUUUAUCAGUGAUUAUUAGCUGUCCUCUUCAUCCUUGUAUUUGGUCUUUUAUUUUACUUGGCUGAAAAACAGAUUGGAAGAUAGUGCCUAUGUGUUACUGUGUGUGGCAGCAUGGACAAAAUUAUCUGGCCUUUUCUCCUUUUCCAACUGUGCAAAAACAUUAUUUUUGAUUUUGUAGUCUGCUGCAUGAAAAGUUAUAUUGGGUCUGCAUUAUUUCUGUCCUCUAAUACCUGGAAAAAAACCCACUAAAUAUGUAAUUUUAAUGUCCUUUGCCUCUUUCCAGCUAAGUCUAGAUUUCUAAUUCUGCAGUGUUUAACCUUCUGCACGAGCUAGGUAUUUCCCUGUUCACAGAACUUCUUUUUCCUUUACUUUUUGAUGCAUGUUUCUUUCAAGAAACCUCACACUGCUCAAUAGCAAAAAGAUACUUGAAAGAAAACAAUGUGCCAUGAGAUCCUGGAAUACACUGUAUCUCACCACGACUGCCCUCCAGAUGUGGGCAUGUGGGGCAGAGACUUUCUCUCGCUCAGACUGUACGUAUGUGCAGCGCCACUGCUUCACGUUUAGUAACCCCCCAUCAGUCCUCCCUAGAUGCCAUUCUGACCUCACCUCACUGCAAGUUUGUUCUUAUUAGGGGCCUGAUCCAUCAAAGCACUUAAGCACAUGGUUGUAGGUUGUAAACCCACCAGGACUUUUUAUAACCCUGUAAAGUAUGUAGAGUGUGUACCUACGGCACUAUAAAAGAUAGGUUUAAGUGAUGCCUGUGAUAAGAGCUAGCCUUUUUUUUUUCAGCAGUUAUCCUCUGUAACACACAGUUUCUGCAGUUUGUGUUGCAUAUAUUUCAAAUUAGGCUGGUUUUGACAAAUCGACUGUUUAUUUUUUAGUUUUGCCUUUUUUGUUUUUGCAUGUCUAGAAGAGCAUCUAUACCUAAUAAAUUUUCAAGAUAUUCUUCCUUAUCUGCAUCCCUCAAAAAACCAUUUAGAUUCUGUUAGACACUCUGGAGGAAUAUUUAAUAGUUAAAAUUUUUCAAUUCAGCUUCUUAAAAAAAUUAAAGCAAAUAAGAAAACAGAACCAUCGUGGGCCCUGCAGAUACCAGAGAGAGUAAAUCUUAAGGACUGUUCUGAGAGCACAAUUUCACCCAGUGCAGAAUUUUAAUUUCUGUAAGCACUGAAAAUAAAAAGUAAUUAAACCUCUGCAUAUUCCUCGUGUACUAUAAAUAUAUUAAUAAAAUAGGCAAAGAACACCAACUCCUAAAUUAUUAGUGGUAGUAAAAUGCUGAAUAUUGAAAUAGUUUAAUUUAUUCAUUUAUAAUUUUUAUCAGGCUUAAAUAGGCCUCUAGGAGCAAUUUAACCAUUACAAUAACACAAUUGUUCAGUACACUCAGCAGUUAGAUACACAGAUAUCAUUGCACAAAACCAAAUAGCAAACUACUGGCAAAAUCCCAUGUUCCAAUGUAAAGUGAUGAUGAAUUUACACAAAGACAGCAGAUUGUUCUCUCCUGCCUCCUUUAUGAAUGAGUAACUUCUAUAUUUCAGUGUAAAAACUACUGGUCAGUGAAUCAGUGCCUCACUUUCAGCUGGGACAGAGUUGUUUUCUUUAGGGUGUCUAAUGUAUGAUGCUGUGUAUUGGUUCCAGGAGAAAAACAAUGCUGAUAACACACCAAUGUUUAUAGUUGCUGCUAAGCAGGGUUGUACAGAGAACCAAGGCCAUUCUCAGCAAAGGGCCCAAGGAGAAGGGAUGGAACAGAAUUAGGACAGCUGACACAAACUGACCCAAGGGAUAUUCCAUACUAUACCAAGCAGAAGAAAUUUGAAGGGAGUGGGCAUUCAUCUCUCUCUCUUACGCCGCUUGGAGGACUAGCUGAGCAUUGGUCAAGGGGUGGUGAGCAAGUGCUUGUGCAUCCCCUGUUAUUUACAUUCACACAUAUACAUACAGUCAUAACUAUUAUCCUUUUCUCUAUCUUAGUAAAUAGUUUUAUCUCAACCCACAAGCCCACAAAUUCUAUUUUUUUUUUCUUUUUUCCUGAUUUUUUCCCCCAUCACACAGGGAAGGAGGGCAGUGAGCAAAACACUGCAUGGUGCUCAGUCACCUGCCAGGUAAAACCACAGCAAUCAGUGCAAUAGGUCUGGUUGAAUGCCCACAGAAAGAGACAAGCUCUAAUUGUAAAAAUUCUGGCUAACCAGGGUUUCUGUAAGCUAGUAUAUAUAGAGCGUAAAUCUAAGCCCAGAAUGAACUUAGAUCUGUCUUGGAUGUAUUUUAGAGAAAAUUGGUUAAGUCUAACGCCACAUAUAAAGAAUAGAUGAUACAUAUUAGUAGCAGAGACAAGUGUAUAUCCUUUAGUCUAUGUAUUAAAUAAUACAUCUUCAGAAAAAAGGUACUCAUGUCUAAGGAAAAACCUACAACAUAACAUCUCCAAGAAUUUCAAGUGAUAAUUAUUCUUUCGGAUAAGUAUUAAAAGACAUUGAAAUGAAUGCAUACCUCCUGUUACACUCAGAAUUCUACCAGUAGAAGACAGCUAGUAUCAAAGUAGGGAAAAAGUGAGUGGAUCAGAGAUCUGAAUAGUCUCUUCAUAAAGAUGUAGCUUAAUAUCUCGCUUAUAUCCAAUUUGGGAAGGCUUCCUCCAGAAAUAUAGUAUCAUCGUUAAAGGUUGAAAGAGAUCUCAGGAGGUCUUUAGUCUAACCCUCUCCUCAAAACAGGAUCAGUUCUAAUGUCAGACCAAGUUACUUAGGUCUCUAACUGGUCUGAUCUUGAAACCUCCAUGGCUGGAGACUGCACAGCCUUUGGCCAUCUCAUUCUGCUGCUUGAGUGACCUGAUGCCAUGAGUCCAGAACCACUGCAGGAGUACCAAUGAAAAAAUCUGAUUUCACAAACUGCCUCCAAAUCACCCUGAGGAAACACCAUUUACGUAUACUGUGCAGCUUGCAUUUUAUUUACUUCUUCUUUAAAGGAGAGCUCACUAGGUGAAUAUAAUUAUUAACUAUUACUUUUGGUAGAGGCUCCCUCAACACCUAAGCAAACAAUAUACUUUAUCAUAUUUUGAACAUUUCUUAACCAAGAGAGGUAGAAAGAGUUUUCUAAUUUAUGUAAAUGCUAAGGUCACCACCUGAAUGCGAAAGCACGAAGUUACUGACUUAGGCCUUAAUCUGAUCUAAUCUUAGAUGCAUCUGUCCCCACUGAAAAGCAUAACAGUGCCUGGACAUUAGAUGGCUGCUGCAGAAUCUGCUGCUAUGUUCACCCUAUUCCACGGAUGGAACACAUCCCCUGGACAUACCUCCAGUGCCAUCUCCUCACGAAGAUGUUUAUAAUAUUCAUGUUAUUAUAGAAUCUACAGACCGGGUCUUCCCAACUCUGCAAGCCUUUAAGAACAGAAUUUUCCAGCAAGAAACAUAUUACUUCAAGAGGAGACAGUGAGACCAUACAGUCCUUAAGAGAACUCAUAAAAUGUCAAGUGCUGUGGAAACAGAACAGAAGCCCAUGUUUCAGCCAGGAUUGCAAUGGCCUCCUCCCAUGGGAAUAGCAGCUGCAUAAAUAGGAGGGAAGCCCUCAGUGGAAUUGCUUCCAACACCUUUCUAAUGGAAAUAAUGAUUUGCAAAGUCCAGUUUAUGCCUUUGCCACGUAAUUAGUAGCCAAGAUUAAAAACAUUGUUCCAACUCCCAGCAUCGUUGAAAUCUGGCAAAACCUUAAAUAUUCCGCUGUGUUCCAAGAAGGUAGCCCAUAAGUGAUCAUUGUAAGGACAGUCUUAGCCAGUUCAGUCAGGCCCUUGAAUCAAUCAACACUUAUUAUAUGGAAAUUAACCAGUUUGAUGUCAAUUAGUGGAAAUUUGUUAGCAGACAUAACCUAUGAGAUGUUUUAUUUUGAAUUCCUUGCUCUCCCCACUGAAGCUAGCUAAGAUAGGGCUAAGGACCCAGCCACACAUUUCUGAAGGCCUAGAGUAGAAUUAAUUAAAAAAGAAGUGGAGUGAAGCUGUAGUCAAAUACACAAAAACUCUACUGUCUACAGGGCACAAGAAGAACAAGGAACUGGAUAUCAGAUUUUUUUCUUGGAAGGAAUCAAUUUCUAGUCACAGAUUUUGGUGCAUAACAGUCUAUUCUGUAUGUGUCAAUACUGAGUAUAUGGAGAUAAAAAAAAGUGUAUAUAGUCUGAUGGCAAUUUGUACCCUCAUUUUGUGCUACUUUAAAGGUCCUUUUCUACCAUGUUCUUAUGCGUUAUAUCCUCGUAUUAAGAAAGUAAUAGUUUUUAAAUUAAAAAUGUCUGACUUGAUCAUUAAUUUUCCUCCUAAAAAUAACCUAAAAUAACCUUAAAAAAAAAAAAAGAAAAGUCUGGCUACUCAAGCCAGAGAGGGUGAUGAAAGAUUUCCUCAGCUCUUAAGAACAUUACCUGUCUGGCAUAUGAGGUGGAUUUGACUUUACUGUAAAUUCUAACUUUUGUUUAAAAUUAAUAAAGUACCCUCAUGUACCCUUCUACCUGUGUAUAUCAGCAUUCAGUAUGACAACCUGGUGCUCUACAAUUCAAAUUAAAUAUUAGGACUGUGGGUUCAAUCUCAAAGUUUUACAGCAAUCCUAAAACACUCACAGCUAAGAAGGAAACACAGGAUCAGAGUCUUGCUAUAAUAUGGAAAACUCCUGGCAGUCUUGAAGCCAGGGUU
ensembl:lncRNA